rnacentral:rRNA from 1 species
AAGACCUUGCGCUUUUGGAGCGGCCGAUGUCUGAUUAGCUUGUUGGUAAGGUAAAAGCUUACCAAGGCUUCGAUCAGUAGCUGGUCUGAGAGGACGACCAGCCACACUGGGACUGAGACACGGCCCAGACUCCUACGGGAGGCAGCAGUGGGGAAUUUUGGACAAUGGGGGCAACCCUGAUCCGGCCAUGCCGCGUGAGUGAAGAAGGCCUUCGGGUUGUAAAGCUCUUUCAGCCGGAACGAAACGGUUACGGUUAAUACCCGUGACUACUGACGGUACCGGAAGAAGAAGCACCGGCUAACUACGUGCCAGCAGCCGCGGUAAUACGUAGGGUGCAAGCGUUAAUCGGAAUUACUGGGCGUAAAGCGUGCGCAGGUGGUUUUGUAAGUCAGAUGUGAAAUCCCCGGGCUUAACCUGGGAACU